UUUAUUUUUUUUCAGCAUAAUGAAUAGAUAUAAAAAUAUCCUUGAAAUUUUAUACUAGGAAAAAUUAGUGUUAUAAAAGUUGGCUGUGAAUGAAUUGAGUUACUAGAAAUCGUUUCUAUGGUAUCAAAAACAUAUUUUCAACAAAAUUUAAUAGUUUAUAUUUUAUAUUUUUUUAAAUAUUUUCUUCAUUUUUAAAAUUGACCAUUGUUGUAAAUUUUAAUUUAUUAAUUUUUUCUUAUACAUAAUAAAUCCUUAAGAUGUAAUGUUUUCAUAUUAUUACCAAGCACUCUUGGCUAGGCUAGGCCAAUGAAAAAUGGGACGGGUAUUAUGGCUGGCUUGGACCAAAGAUCUGACACCACCAAUAAGAAAAUCACAAGAAUAAUUUUGUUACAUUCUGGUAAUUAAACCUGGAACCCUGUGCGCCAAACACAUUUUACCCAUUAUGCCGAAUUGAGGCAUUUAAAGAGUACAGAUUGCGCUACUGUUGUGUCAGGAUAACUAAGCUGGAGAUUGAUGGCAGUCAUCGCUAUUGGAUUUAUUGCACAGGAGUUUGGUGUACCCUGAGGAAUGCUUCAAUGAUGGCUUGGCCUGUUGGCCAAGAGUGCUGGUUCUAAUGGAUAACAGAUUUAUUACAUGUGUAAUUCAUUUUUAUUUGUUAAAUAAUAUUAGUCAACUUGCAUCUGUUGUGCCCGGACGAAUACGUUGGAAAUCGCUGAUGGUUUAGGAUUUAUUAAAAGAACUGCGCAUCUGUUGUAUCUGGACGACCGUGAUUGAAUAGCAGUUCGACCCAAUGGCCAAGAGUGCUGGUUCUAAUGAAUAACGGAUUUAUUAUGCGGACUGUGCUACCGUUGUGGUGCCAAGAUAACAACUAAGCUAGAGAUUUAUGGUAGGCAUCGCUAUUGAAUUUAUUGCACGGUCUGUGCAUCUGUUUUGCCUGGUUGACUGAUUGAUUAGCAGCCAUCUGACCUGAAGAGUGCUGGCUCUAAUUCAUAAUGGUUGUCUUACACAGAUUGUGUACGGCCUUUGGUAAAGCUACAAAAUUUUCACUUCUGUUGUUGUACUCACAAUGUGUUGAUAGUUCUGUGCUGUUGGUUUUUUUUUUUUAGCCAACGCUUGCUCUCCCUUACUGUUCGACAUUCCUCCAAAAUGAUACUAUCGCAUGUCAAACCUCGAUUCCAUAAGAUCUUACUAUUGGACAAUGGAAGAUCUUCACGAUUACUACGUGCAGUCUGCUCUCGGAGUUCAUUGAAAACAUUUAUUCCUUUUUUAAUUUACAACGUAAUUCUUUUACCAAUAUUAUUGUAUCGAUUUAGGUGUGAGUCUCUCAUUAAACUGUAUUUUUCUAAUGAUAAUUAUAUCAAUUUGUAUUUCAAGUACAUUACUUCAAUAUGAACGAAAUUUUUUUAUGUGUGUGAUCGAGACAAUAAAGAAACGUUACUUUUUUUUUAUUUUUAAAAGAAACUAAUAUAUGAUUUCAAAAAUCAUAUCGGGGGGGGCAAGUUGGAAACAUACGUAACAUUUCUUUGAAUUUUACUUCAAUUAAUUCUUUCCUCCCCAUUUUUGUUUUUUGACCCGUUUGAAAUUUGGAUCUUGUUUGAUUUCUGCAAGAGUGUCCGCUGCCAAACUCUUGAUCAUCUUGUGUUGCGGAGAGUUCUCUCGGCAAGUCCCCGUUAUUUUCAAAAAUACAUGUUUCCAAAAGUCCGAACUUUCCACAUGCUUUAUGUCCUGCUUUCUACAAAAGUAACAUUAUGUAUUUAGAUGUAAGACGAUUUCUAACGACAAGUCGACUCGACUUACAGGUACAUUCUCACAUCGUAACAUAUGUCCGACGCUUCGACCUCCGACGAAACAGAAUAUGCAGACUCGGCCAGAUUUGCUGAAAUAACCCAAGACAUUUUUCCAGUCUUGUUCGCCGAUGUCAUUUCGGUAUAUUUUUCUUCUCAGUUCAGAUCUUCUGAACUCUCGGAGGCCGUUCGUUUUCUUGAUCCAGGUGCACCUACAAGACGAGUUUGAACUAGUGCAGGUGUGCACGAGGUGUAGGUGUUCGUCGUGCGUUGCAAUGACAACGACGGAUGAUGGGUUGUGGCUGUUUCUGGAACGUUGGAAAUUAGUGACCAGGUCAGCAACGAGUCUGCGUAAUCUUCCAGAUCCAUCGGGCACCAACACCCAAUAUCUAUAUCGCACUCUAUCGUCUUGAGUAUUGUAACGAAUUGCGCUAGCAGCAAUUCGUCGUAUCACCCCUAAACAACAAUAAACAUACACAUUUAACGUGUUAAAUAUUAAGAACAGCGUCUAAAAACUUUACCGUCAGUUUCUUCUGGGCCAUUGCCAAUACGAUAGGCAAACUGUCUUUCAGUGUCGUCUUUUCGUUUUCUAUUUCCGCCCACAACGUCGGUGUCUCUAGUUUUUUUUUUCCACAGACUGAUCAAUAGAUGUUGGGUAUCUCUGAAAGUUAACCAGAGAAUUAUUAGAGUCGUCGAACUCGAAAGUUUCGUACUCGACUCCGGAACAAAAAUCAGUAAUCUCGCUAAUAAUGUCAAUGUCGUGGCCGUAAAUGGACCAAAUUUCUUCUUGCACUGUUCUAUUACAGCACAACGUUUUAUAUUCAGGAGGGAUUCUCUCCACGUUACUAAUUCUGUUGUCCAGCCAUUCAAUAACUUUGUCGUUGUUGUUCGUUCGGGCUCCAUUAUCUAUAACAACAUGAAAUUUACUUUACAGACUUCUAUAAUGUUCCUUAAAAAAUACUAACCGGAGAGUCGUCGUCCGAAAUAGGAUGAUUCCCCAAAGUAAGAUCCACAGUCGUCGUCGUCGUCCGUUUUCUCGACAUAGCCUUCUCCAUGGUUGCUUCCGCUUUCUUCGAUAUUUUCUUCGCCGGCGAUACCAAUUCUAAAAUCUUUUUUCUUUUGUCCUCUUGUUGUUGCUUGCCGAACAUCGACGGAGACGUCUCUUUCAGUACGGAGUCUUUUUUUGCCAUUGUUUAAAUAUUCCGCGUACUCGUCAAUGUUAUUCACUGUCGCAAGAAAAACAUAAGUACGUUACUUUUUUUUUAUUUUUAAAAGAAACUAAUAUCUUAUGUUAACAAUAUUUUUUACCAUAUGUCGAAAAAUAAUAGUCUUUGUGUUUUUUAAACUAAUUGUUCUAUCAUGAUUUAAAUUGCAAUUGUUUAUUUUUCUUAUUAUAUCGAUGAUUAAUUAAUAAUAAUUAUAUUAAUGCAUUCAAAUUAUAUUUCGAGUACUGUAUUUUAAUAUGAAUAAAACCUUUUUUUAUGUGUGUUGUAUUACACAAUAAUGAAACAUGAUUUUUCCUAUUUAUAUUACUUUUUUUAUUUGUAUAAUAUUAUAUAAUUACUUAUAAUAUUAAAAUAUUAUAUUAUGUUAUCUUUUGUACAUGUAUGUCAUAUAUUAUGAAUUCACAAGAUCACCAAAACGGAGUUCCCAUAUUUAAAACUUAAAAUAAUCAAUAAAUUAGGCAAUUAAAUCUGAUUAUCGUACAGAUUCAAAGUAACGCCUAUUUGUGGGUUUUCAAUUAGGUCCAGCCAAUCACAUUUGACUAUUAAUUAAGAUCUACAGUUUCUGAGAUCACACUAGGGAUCGUUAUACGACCCUCGUCUAAUAUAAAAACCCAUUUUUUCCUAUUAAAAUCAGUUCUUUCGGCGAUUUUAAAAUACACAAAAUCUGCGACACUACUCAAGAUUCUUACUCUCUGGGACUUUGUCGAUUUUUUAAUUUAUUUGGACUUAGAAUAUUUUUUCUUCAAAAUUAAAUGACACUUAGAGAUUUUAAAGUGAAUUUUGUUUUGGUGAAUCUUUUAAUUUGAUUUAAUUUGUUCAUUAAAUAAUAAUGUUUUAUUUUAUCGUGGAAAUAAAUGUCAAUUGAUAUGUUGAACCUCAAAUA